CGUCGACCUGCGGGCGGGGGCGGUUGCUGGCACCCCUGACGCGGGUGCUAUCCGCGGCAGCCUGCUGCUGGGCGGAUCACGCGUCGCCGCCGACGCC
rnacentral:tRNA from 1 species